GACGAACGCUGGCGGCGUGCUUAACACAUGCAAGUCGAACGAAGUGGCGAACGGGUGAGUAACGCGUAAUCAACCUGCCCACCAGAGGGGGACAACAGGUGGAAACGACUGCUAAUAUCGCAUACUGAAGGAGGGGCUUGCGUCUGUUUAGCUAGUUGGAGGGGUAACGGCCCACCAAGGCGAUGAUCAGUAGCCGGACUGCGGGGAGGGACGGCCCCAUUGGGACUGGGACAAGGCCCAGACUCCUACGGGAGGCAGCCGUGAGGAAUCUUCCGCAAUGGACCAAAGUCUGACGGAGCAACGCCGCGGGGGUUAUGGCGGCCUUCGGGUUGUAAAGCUCUGUUAAUCAGGACGCGGUACCGGAAUAGAAAGCCACGGCUAACUACGUGCCAGCAGCCGCGGUAAUAC
rnacentral:rRNA from 1 species